AUACGCGAAACGUAACUUUAGACAACUCCUCCCCUUACUUAUUUCUCGCUAAUUACGGAAAACCCGCCAUUCAACACCUUACAGAGGAAUUGGUGCAGUAACAGCCUGACCCAACAGGGACCAACACAACGCACGGGUGCGGGGGGCGCGCAGCCUCUGCACACUAAGAGCCUCUGGCGCUUUUCCAGCUCCCGGCAAUCGCUGUUUCUCCGGAGGCUCCAGACUCUACCCUCGAGGGACCAGUGUUUGAAACCAGCGGGUGUGGGGAAGCGACACGUGACGGCGCACACAUGUCCCGGAGCGCAGAAUUUGGCCCCCGGGUUACCCUCACAACCCCUGCCUCGCGCCGAGCAAGCGCCAGCUAAUCGGCGGGGUCUCUACGGCGACCCUGCUUUCCAGCAUGGCCGCUGAACUGUUUUCCUAGACUUUCACUGAGUUGCUAGCAACAGUUACCAAGCAACUUACAAACAUACCUUUCCAAGCUGUAUUGAAUGGUUUCUUGCACCACGAAACAUUAAAAGAACUUUCUUCCCAAGUUUGUUCUGGCCAACAUCUCUUAGUACCUCUGUGGGAUUUUGUAUACGUGUGCAACUUCCACUGUACUCAAGUUUUAGGACUUAUAUAUAUGGGGAAAAUUACCAGCAUACCUAUGCAGGUGUAAGUAUACUGGCAUUGCUAUGCUGGUAAAACUCCCCAUGCGGACAUUCUUAUCUCAUUGAAGUCAAUGAGAGUUUUUUCAAGUGAUUCAAUUGGGAAUUUAAUUUGAUCUUUAACAAGCAUGCCUCUGAGAGUAAGGGCUUGUCUACUCAGGGGAAAUUACCAGCAUAGCUAUACUGGUAAAACUUCCCAUGUGGACACUCUUAUCCCAGAAUAAGAGUGCUUUUUUCUGAUUUAACUUAUGGCACUUUCAAAGUGGUGAUGUUUGUUGAAGGUCAGAUUCUUUUCCCAGUUGAGUCACUUGACAAAACUCCCGUUGACUUCAGUGGGUGAAGAAUAGAACUGGCACUAGAUAUAAUAGAAUCCACAAAACUGAUGACCUGAUAAGUGACAUGACUGCCAUAGUAGGGUAUAUAUUAUGGAGCAGAUUCAGUGAUUCUGAACCAGAGAUCUGUUGGGAUGACACCUCAUGACCGUGGGACAAUUAAAUGACAAUGUCAAAUGUGGGAUAACAGCAGAUUUUGUGUGGGAUGGAGGAUAAUGUGUUAAAAGGGGAAUGCACUUUGUAGUGAGGGACAGUUAGGAGGUAUACGUGCAGGGACAUUAUUCUCAUAUGCUUCAGUCCUGUAUAAUUCAUACCUCAUCCCAGAAAGAGUACAGAUACCUAUCAAAUCUGAAAGCAAAUAUUCCAGCUAUACUCACUAAGACUGUUACAAACUGAGAUGCUUAAUCGUUUUAGAUCUUGAAAAUUUAAUUAAUAGGCAUUGAGUUUAAUUGCUUUUGGUGCCUCAGCUUCAUUUUCUUUGUGUAUAAUUACCUGCUGAACGUGUACAAUACUUUUUAUAGCUUUUUAAAAUAUUUCUAUUUAUAUUACUAUUGUGAUGACAGAAAGAUCAGCAGUGACACUUGCUGGGUAGGAAUUAGAUAUCUGAUUUUUGGUAGGUUUCCCAGACUUAUUGGGCAGAUAGAAAGAGAGAAGGUGUUGGGGUUCACUAAAAUUAUCGCCUUCCUUAAUAAGGAUAAGAGGCAAAGACACAUUCCUAAUAGCUUUCAUCCUCUCCCUGUAAUCCUUAUGGCAAAUUAACAUUUCACUAGCUGUCCAAUCCUGUACUUACACAGGCAAAACUCUUGUUGAAGUUAAUCGGAGGUUUGCCUGGAUGGGAAGUAGGC